GCCGGCUCACCUACUGUUUUACCCUAUGCUUGUUUUUUAUGGUUUUUAUGUUUUGGUGUUUUGUUAUUGGUUUUCAGCACGAUAUUACUACACACACACACUCGACAAGUAUAGCUUACGCUAUACCAUAACUGUGACUGACCGCCAUCAGCCGUGACUUACUCGGACAAAGAACACCACAAGCUCCGGGGAGAAUAUACCUUCUCCCACCCCCCCGCGACUUCC